CAUCCAAACUCCGCCUGCUUCCCCAAGGACCCCAACUGCGUUUCUGUGACUUCUCUGCAAGCAAUCCGCUGUAUGCUCGUCCAUCACAGCUAUACACGUUGGGAUUUAUUAAUCUAGGGUUUUUCAUUCCUUCUCUUUGUCUACUCCAUUUCCUUUAUAUGAUCUCUCUCCCGUGAAAUGAGAACACAAAUGCGAACCAUCAACAUACUUCUUCUACUGCUUUUUCUUAGCUCCCAAACAGUCAAUUCCUGGAAGAGGGAGGAGUUUCGUAACUGCAACCAAGCCACCUUCUGUAAACGCGCCCGAUCCCGUAAGCCAGGCGAGUGCUCUCUAAUCGCUCACGACGUCGGCAUUUCCGAUGGUGAGCUCACUGCGAAGCUCCUCCCCAAGGAUAUCCCUGAUCAAAGCCACGAAGAAGAUCAGGAGCCUCAUCAAAUCAAGCCCUUGAUUCUCACUCUCUCAGUCUACCAGGAUGGAAUUCUGCGGCUCAAAAUCGAUGAGGACCCGUCCCUGGACCCGCCUAAGAAAAGGUUCGAAGUUCCCGAUGUGAUUAUCCCUGAAUUCGAUGCCAAGAAACUAUGGCUACAGAGGGUUUCCACGGAGAUCAUCGACGGGGAUGUGGGAUCAUCCUCGAUCAUCUACUUAUCCGACGGCUACGAGGCGGUCGUCCGCCAUGAUCCCUUCGAGGUCUAUGUCCGCGAAAAGGGACGUAAUGUACGGGUUGUCUCGUUGAACUCUCAUAGUCUGUUUGAUUUCGAGCAACUGAGAACGAAGAAGGAAGGUGAGGAUUGGGAAGAGAGGUUCAAGAGUAACACUGAUACGAGGCCGUAUGGUCCGCAGUCAAUCAGCUUCGAUGUGUCAUUUUAUGAUGCGGAUUUUGUGUCUGGGAUACCUGAACACGCAACGAGCCUUGCUCUCAAGCCCACCAGAGGGCCUGGGGUGGAGGAAUCGGAGCCUUACAGGUUGUUCAAUCUGGACGUCUUUGAGUAUCUCCAUGAGUCGCCAUUUGGGUUAUACGGGUCCAUACCCUUCAUGAUAGCUCACGGCAAGUCGGGCAAGUCAUCUGGAUUCUUUUGGUUGAAUGCUGCGGAAAUGCAGAUUGAUGUGUUGGGGUCUGGGUGGGACGCUGAGUCUGGGAUCUCACUGCCUUCUUCACAGAAUCGAAUUGAUACCUUAUGGAUGAGUGAGGCUGGCAUUGUUGAUACAUUCUUUUUCGUGGGAUCAGGGCCAAAGGAUGUUGUUAAACAGUACACAGUUGUAACUGGUAGGCCUUCUAUGCCACAGCUGUUUUCUACUGCAUAUCAUCAAUGCAGGUGGAAUUACAGGGAUGAGGAAGAUGUGGAGCAUGUGGACUCUAAGUUUGAUGAACAUGAUAUUCCUUACGAUGUUCUGUGGCUUGAUAUUGAACAUACUGAUGGGAAGAGGUACUUUACUUGGGAUAAGGUCCUAUUUCCACACCCAGAUGAGAUGCAGAGGAAAUUGGCUGCAAAGGGUAGGCACAUGGUGGCAAUUGUUGAUCCACAUAUUAAGCGGGAUGAGUCCUUUCCCCUGCAUAAGGAGGCUACUCAAAAGGGGUAUUAUGUUAAGGAUGCAAGUGGAAAGGAUUUUGAUGGGUGGUGCUGGCCUGGCUCUUCUUCAUAUUUGGAUAUGUUGAGUCCAGAGAUUAGGUCAUGGUGGGGUGACAAAUUCUCAUAUGAGAACUAUGUUGGCUCAACUCCUUCACUUUAUAUUUGGAAUGAUAUGAACGAGCCUUCUGUCUUCAAUGGCCCAGAGAUAACAAUGCCAAGGGAUGCUUUACAUAAUGGAGCUGUGGAACAUCGAGAAUUGCAUAAUGCAUAUGGAUACUACUUCCAUAUGGCAACAGCUGAUGGGCUUUUGAAGCGUGAAGAUGGGAUGGAUAGGCCUUUUGUUCUGUCAAGAGCAUUCUUUGCAGGAAGCCAAAGGUAUGGAGCAGUUUGGACGGGAGACAAUACAGCAGAUUGGGAUCACCUUAGGGUUUCGGUUCCUAUGGUGUUGACACUUGGUCUUACAGGAAUUUCAUUUGCUGGUGCAGAUGUUGGUGGGUUUUUUGGUAAUCCUGAGCCAGAGUUAUUAGUCCGCUGGUAUCAACUUGGUGCGUACUAUCCUUUCUUUAGGGCCCAUGCCCACCAGGAUACCAAAAGAAGAGAACCUUGGUUGUUUGGAGAGCGGAAUACGGAACUUAUAAGAGAGGCAGUACAUGUGCGUUACAUACUGCUCCCAUAUUUCUACACCUUAUUCAGAGAGGCGAACACUACUGGUGCUCCUGUUGCACGUCCAUUGUGGAUGGAGUUCCCUUCUGAUGAAGCUACUUUCAGCAUUGAUGAAGCUUUCAUGGUUGGAAGCAGUCUCUUGGUGCAAGGAGUUUUUACAGAGCGAGCUAAACAUGCAUCAGUGUAUCUGCCUGGUAAAGAGUCAUGGUAUGACAUGAAAACUGGAACUGCCUAUAAGGGAGGCAAAGUUUACAAACUGGAGCUUUCAGAGGAGAGUGUCCCUGCUUUCCAAAAGGCUGGAACCAUCAUACCAAGGAAAGACCGUUUUCGUCGAAGCUCUACUCAAAUGGUUCAUGAUCCUUACACUCUGGUUAUAGCCUUGAACAGUUCCCUGGCAGCUGAAGGUGAACUCUAUGUUGAUGAUGGCAAGAGCUUUGAAUAUGAGAAGGGGGGCUACAUCCACCGCCGCUUUGUGUUCUCAAAUGGCAAGCUUACCUCCUUAAACCUGGCUUCUGUUUCGUCAAGAAAAUCUAAAUUCUCUUCAGAAUGCAUUGUAGAGAGGAUUAUACUACUUGGAUACACAUCCGGACCAAAGAAUGCGCUCGUUGAACCAUCGAAUCAGAAGGUUGAAAUUGAACUUGGGCCACUUUGGCCUCAAGGCGGACGUGGGGCAGCUGUUAUGACCAUCCGCAAGCCUGGUGUCCGGAUUUCAGAUGAUUGGACGAUUAAAAUCUUGUAAGCGCUGCGGAUUUCCCAUUUAUGUUCAACCAGGAAAACAAAAUCUCCAUUGUUAUAACACUUGUAGGGACGUUUUGAUGAGCAGAAAGCUCAUGGAGUUUGGUCAUUGACCUUGAUCCGUGUGCAAUUUACACAUAAAGCACGCCGCCCCGUUCUCUCCCCUUUUGCUCUCCCAAGGGGCCUCAGUAUUUAGCAACGAAUGGUCCAGGCUUCCAGAGUUGAUAAGACUGGGUUUUUAAGAUUUUGAUCAUGUUAACAUUGAUCUGGGCCAUGUUUUUCUUGUGCAUGUUUAGAAAUAUCAUGGUGCUCUGAAGUUUUGAAA